CGUGGGUAACCUGCCCAAGAGAUCGGGAUAACACCUGGAAACAGAUGCUAAUACCGGAUAACAACAGAUGAUGCCUAUCAACUGUUUAAAAGAUGGUUCUGCUAUCACUCUUGGAUGGACCUGCGGUGCAUUAGCUAGUUGGUAGGGUAACGGCCUACCAAGGCGAUGAUGCAUAGCCGAGUUGAGAGACUGAUCGGCCACAUUGGGACUGAGACACGGCCCAAACUCCUACGGGAGGCAGCACGGG
rnacentral:rRNA from 1 species